UGUACUGUCAUGUGUAACUAAUUAAAACAAAUAAAAAAAUAAAAUUCAAAAAAAAAAAAAGAAAAAUGAAAACAACUCACCAAUUUAUGAUGCAGUCACAAAAUGAAACACUCUCUUGCAAUAGGGAGGAAUGGGUCAAAUCACAACAUGGAUGAAUCCCCAAAAUACAAUGUUGAGUGAGGAAGCCACACACAAAGGAAGACACACCAUGUGAUUUGAUUUAUGUAAAGCUUAGAAACAGACCUCUGACGUUAGAAGUAAAGGUUCUGGUUACCUUCCAGGGAAGGAGGUAGUGGAAACAGGACACAAAGGGGCUUCAGAGUAUUGCAGUGUUCCAAAUUUUAAAGUUGUGUUGCCUGAGCAUGUUCACUUUGUGAAAAUCCACUGUGCUUAUGAUGUGCAUGUAUUAUUGGGGUAUUAAAAGGAAAAAGAGGGCUGGGGCUGUAGCUCAGUGGUAGAGCGCUUGCCUUGCAUAUGUGAGGCCUUGGUUUCCAUCCUCAGCAUCACAUAAAAAUAAAUAAAAUAAAAUACAGGUGUUGUGUCCAUCUACAACUACAAAUAUUUUUUUUUUUAAAAAAAAAAGAGGGAAAAGAGCAAUGGCUGAAUGGGAGUCUAGAAUCAAGUCAGGGCAGUGAAGAAAUUGCUGACAGGGGCAGCCAGGAAAAGGCACUGAAAUAUUAAACAUGUCUCCAAUUAUAGUGGAUAAAGGGGGGCCUGGGGGAAAUUAGGGACACAAUGGUUAUGACAGGAGAGGGAGAAUCACCACAUAUCAGAGGAUUGAAUGCAGAGUAGCAUCUUGUUAUGACAAAGUCCACCAUGUAGCUGUCAUAGGAUGAAAGACAAAAUAUCAUCAGUCACAGGGCUGUAUCCAUUCAUGACACAGAAGAUAGCAAAGGUCAUCCUUAUAAUUCAGCAUGGGAAGGAGUUGGUUGUUUAACUCAGGUGAAUGUGGAGAAGACCCUGGCAGCUCAUUUGUUGUUUAACUUUGCCUGCUUACUGGGCACUAGAGUUCUGUGCAAGGACACUUAAACCUGUAGUAUCAUAUUAAGAAAAUCAUGUGCAGUGUAAACAAAGCUUUUGCUACAUCUCUGAGCUUGAACAUGGCUUCUAGUCUGUGGUCUCCUAGCAAGAGAAAUACAGCAGGUAGCAGAUAAUGUAAACAGUUUAGUUCCCUGGGUGGCUUUAAAGGGAAGGAGACAGUUUAAUCUUCCUUAUAUAUGCACAAAAACUUCCCUCUCUCUCUCAUACACACAAACAGAACACUACAUUUGGGAACCUUGCCUUAGCAAUAAAUAUUGGCUACUUAAGCAUCUUGGUUAAAAUAGAAAAACCAGUUGUCUUAUGAAUCAGAGGUUAAAGCAAUGUUCUUAGAGGAUUAAUUUCUAAGAUUGCUUUCCAAAUAUCAUGGCUGACCAAGUCUUAGCAGUCAUUAUUAAUAAGAAUGGUGAAAAUUAAGGUGAAGUUUGCGUUUUCUUUCUUCGUAUUGCUUCCUUCUCUUCUGGGUUGAUUUUCCUUCCACAUUGCUUAUCUUUCUCAAAUCUCAUGAAGAUAAUUUCUAAAUAAGUUUCCUAUAUAAUUUUUCCUUGGUUCCAGAGAUUCUGUUGAAUGCAGUCUUUGACAUAUUGUUAUGACACCUCUAACAUUAUACAGCACAUAUCAAGGCGAAUUUAUAAUUGAACAUGCAAAUUGAGACCUUUGAGAAUAAGAAAAGGUGCUAUUAAUAAUUAUGUUAGGGCAACAGGUAUGAACCAGUGCUAUCUUGGCAAACUGGAGGUGUGGUCACUUUGUCCAGAAGCCUCCUGGACAAGAAUCAACCUGUGAAGGCUCUGUUUUGUUGGAGGCUGUUUUCUUGGGACUGAGUCAUUCCCAGGCUCAGUUUGCUUAUUAAUUUAGCUCGAUUC
rnacentral:lncRNA from 1 species